rnacentral:rRNA from 1 species
AAGUGCUGAAAGCAUCUAAGCACGAAACUUGCCCCGAGAUGAGUUCUCCCUGACUCCUUGAGAGUCCUGAAGGAACGUUGAAGACGACGACGUUGAUAGGCCGGGUGUGUAAGCGCAGCGAUGCGUUAAGCUAAUCGGUACUAAUGAACCGUGAGGCUUAACCUU